CUGCAACACCAAAUCAUAUCCCAGCAAGGAUGAAAAAAAUCUGGGUACAUGCAGCACGCUGCAUAACCUGCAGGCAGCUCCACAAGUUGAAGAGUGUCCUUUCCAGGCCGCUCAGCUGCUCUGAGACUCUUACAGACAACUCAGCUGCUCUCUUCUUCCAGGGAGCUUGUCUUCUCUGAGAGUCUUCUUUUUCACCUGGCUUGUCUGAGAGUGACUCUCAGCAGUCUUUAGUGUUUACAAUGGGGAGGGAGGGAACUAAUGAACCCAGUCAGUUUCAGGGACUUCCUGAAGCUAUUUUCAGUUGUUUGCUUUCUGUUUAAAGGAACAAUGGACUGUUUCAAUCUCUGAGGAAACUGCUACACAACUUUUUCUUUUUUUCUUUUUUUUUUUUAGGAUUGUUUAAGAUUGCCCACAUUACCUUGUCAAUCAUGAUAUGGGCUCAGGUCUUGCUUCCUGCUAUGUGACUACAGAGAGCAUCCCCAAGAAGGUGGAUGCCAUCCAUUGUGACAUUUAGUCAUGAGUCACCAGAUUUUCUGCCUCAUCUUUUUCUUCCUUGCCUGUUCCUUGCUGAUCAUAUGACCCUGAGCAGGCCUAACUCUCCAGACUUGGGUGGCCUUACCUCUACAAUGAUGACUAUAUAUACUCCUUGUAUCCUUUGUGAGGCUGCUAUCAGGAUUGAGUAAAGGCAUUUGGAACAGCAAAAUUGGAAAAUCUUAGUCACCAUCGUUUAUUUUUUGAGACAGGGCCUCAGGUAGCCCAGACUAGCCUCCAACUCCUUAUGAAGCUGACUGUAACCUCGACCCUCUUCUGAUCCUCUUGCCUCCUCCUCCUGAGUGUUGUGAUUGCCGGUGUGUGUUACCACAUCUGGUUUAUGCUAUGCUGAGGCUUGAACUGGGCGCUUGGUGAUUGCUAAGUGCAUCCUACCAAUUGAGCUACAUUCCCAGCUCCUCCUCAUUCUUGUUUUUACCUUUUCCUUAAGUUAAAAAGCAAAACUGAGGCUGUGUCGGGGAGGCAUUACUCCAUGUCAAAUCUAGAUGGGGUUGGAUUUACACCAGUUCCUGUGCUCUUUGGACUCCUUAGUGCUUCAUAGAAAUUUGAAUUGAUUGGUUAUUAGGUCACAUACAAGUACCAUAUCUCUCAUAUGAACAAGACGUUAAGUCCAUGGGUAUGCAUGCUAAAAAUCAUUUUGUUAAAAACAGCCAUCCUCUUGUUCCAAAACUUUUUCACAUAAAUUCUUAGCAAUCCAAGUUUCCAUAGUCUUUCUUGGGUUUCUGUUAUUCCACGGGUGAGCUCUUGAACAGGGACAGAGAGAGUAAGUGCAGCUAUGGACACACACUAUCUUUCUUUAAACCCUUACAGUUGGUUUGAAAUUGCCAGCCACUCAAAUCUCUGAUUUUCUGUCUGCCAGACUGGUUCCUUCACCACCCUUCCUUUUCCAUUCCAUUCUCAUUACUGCAUGUUGUCUGAUUUCACCAGGAGGUGAAAAUACAACACCUGCUAUAAAUCUUUGAGGAUUUUGUUCCGUUUUCUUGUAAAGUCAAACCAGAAACCCCCCACCGGCAGAGCCAGCUGUGCCUCAUAUUUAAACACAAACUAUAAAAUGUCAGGGGAGAGGGGGAGUGACUUAGCCAAUGAAAACAUUGCACUUGGGGGGCAGCAAUCUGUUUUUGAGAUUUAUGAGCUGAGAGCCUGUCACACUUUAAUGAUUCGCAAGUGAAACCCGUCACAUCUGUGGAACUCGGCCUUCAUUUUCUCCAGAGCAUCCCCAUGGAAUACAUCUCUUCUGAAACUCAGUUGUCUCUUUAAAAUACUACUGAGGUCAGCAUGUAACAGUAGAUCUGAGAACUAGAUUAUGUAAGAAAGCUUAUAUUAUAGAAAUCGUGACACCCACCCCCCAAAAAAGGGUCUGAGAUUUAUUUAUUUAUUUAUUUAUUUAUUUAUUUAUUUAUUUGUUGCUAGUGAAGGACAAGUUAAGAAAGCAGUAUCUUUGGUUUCAAGUUACAUUGUCCUUGUAUUUAUUUAAACAUUUUGAAAGCCAUGUUGUGUCUGAAUUUCAUCUACUUAGCCGGUGUGGACAGUGUCUUUCCCUGCCGUUCCCAGCACUUUCCCCACACCCUCCAUCAAUUUUUCCUGCCAUAUUGAGUCCUUUUCUACUACUCUCACCUCUGAAUGUCACCAGGAAAAGAAUUUACCCUUAGUAUAUUCUUUUUGUAAGAAUAUCUGCAUUUAAAGCAUUCUUACCAAGUGCAGAAGGAAGGCUUGGUGCACCUGGUGGGGGGCACAAGGGGCAUGGGAAGAACUGAAAGUGUUGGUUGAGAAAGAGAGACAGCCUCCUAUACCAGGAGUACUUUUGUGCCCUCUCCUCUGUGCCCUGAGGAUGUGUAGUGCCAAAGCACAUGGGGAAAAAGAUGAUGGAGUUCCUUCUUUGUUCUCUCUGGAUUUCUAAAAUCAUCCUAAAAUACUAAAUAUGAACCUACCCUUCUGCUUUGGUGUGUGUGUGAGAGAGAGAGAUCCAGAAGCAAGUGUGGAGGUGAGGCAAAGCUAUCCUGAUGAGGUGCUGAAUGGGGUGCUGUGUGUGGGGGGAGGCAUCUGUUAGACACACUGCCCCCAGCAUCUAAAGCACUGUCCCUCAGGAGGGGAUGUAGUCAGCUGUUUUACAAACACUAUUCCUCCAUUAGUGCCAAAUCCAAACUGAGCAGAACUUGACUAGAGAGGUCUUUUUUUUUUUAAGAUUUUAUUUAUUUAUUAUGUAUACAACAUUCUGCUUCCAUGUAUAUCUGCACACCAGUACAGGGCACCAGGUCUUAUAACAGAUGGUUGUGAGCCACCAGAAUUGAACUCAGGAUCUCUGGAAGAGCAGUCAGUGCUCUUAACCUCUGAGCCAUCUCUCCAGCCCUAGAGAGGUCUUUUAUUUUUGCUUAUUUAUUUUGUUGACUGUGCUGGAGCUCACUCUGUAGGCCAGGCUGGAUGUGAACUCACAGAAUGAAGUUUACUUUCCAGUGAGGCACUUCAUUUUGGUUAGGGUUUGGAGUCAGUAUGUAUAAGGUUUCCCUUUUGUUUGCACAGAGGGAUGCCAAAGGGCCAUCAGACCAUCGUGUCCUGGUGACUCAGGUUGCUGGACCACACUGGACAACUAUUUGGUCUCUAAUUUGGGAGUAGUAAUUAUGAAACAGGAUGUGCAGGUGGAUGGAAACAGGAACCACUUCCAGCUUGUUAGCUGACAACCAAGACCUAGCUGUUUCUGGCAUGCAGAUGGUACCUGAUAAUGAUGGAUGGAUGGAUGGAUGGAUGAAUGAAUGUGUCCUAUGAAUGAAUGAAUAUUUUCACAAUUUCAGAGCUUCUUAUUUUACCUCAAUGGCUUUAUGAUCCACACUCCCUGAGACUCUGUUUUUUUUUUCAAUAUCUUAUAGAAUUGUUGGAAGAAAUAAAAUGAUGUUACAUAUCUGUACCCUUAGCACAGUGCUCCCUAAACACAUAGGGAAGGGGUGCAAUAUUGUUCAGAGUUGACAGUGUGGGGGAGGAGCUGAUUAAAGUUACUUGUGUUGAUUCUUGUGGCAGACCCUGAGAGGAUCAACAGAGAAACGUGGGACACAAGCAUGUGGGGUGGGAUGAAGAUUAUGUAGAGACUGUACAUGACUAAGAAGGUAGACAUGACUGGGUUAGAGUCUUAGCAAAACUGUCACUUUGGAGUUUGGCCUUUGAAAGGUCGCAGGUUCGUCUGGUUUCAGAGCUCAGUACUUCUCUCCCACAUAUUCCUACCUACAUAAGAAAAGGAUGCUUGAAGGUGGCACCCAUUGAACUCAGUGAGUGGAGGACACGAUGGUUCAGAGGGGUGGGGUGGGUUAGGAGUCUGGAGAGAGGGAGGGAGAGGGAAGCGUGGGAGUGUCUAAAUAUAGGAUAUAUUGUAUUCAUUUAUGAAACUGUCAGAAAUAAAUAAAGUUUUCAAAAAGUUAAAAAAAGUUAGCAAAAAGUGUGUUAAAUCCAAGAAUCAGGUGUGUGUGUGUGUGUGCAUGAGAGAGAGAGAGAGAGAGGGAGAGAGAGAGAGAGAGAGAGAGAGAGAGAGAGAGAGAGGGAGAGAGAACACAUAGUUCAGCAGUUAAGAAUACUUGUUGCUCAGGGCUGGAGAGAUGGCUCAGUAGUUAAGAGCACUGGCUGUUCUUCCAGAGGACCAAGGUUCAAUUCCCAGCACUCACAUGGCAACUCACAACUGUUUGUAACUCCAAGUUCUGACACCUUCACAUAGACAUAUAUGCAGGCAAAACAUCAAUGCACAUAAAAUAAAAACAAAUAAAUUUUAAAAAAGAAUACUUGUUGUCUUUUUAGAGGACCCAAGUUUGAUUCCCAGCACCCGUAUCAGGUAGCUCACAACGGUCUGUGACUCCAUCUUAGGGAGAUCAGGUAUGUCUGGCCUCCUUAGAUACCCGCUCUGAUAAACAUAUACCCACAUGAAGACAUAUACACGUAGACAUCAUUUAAAAUAGUAAAUACCAAUAUUUACAAAAAUAAACACAGUAUAUGUUAUUUUCUCAGCCUCUUCCUUCUUUCUACAGGUGAGAACAUGAGAUUUACAGAGGUCAAGUAGCAUAGUAAGUGCAAAGUCAUCAUUAAAACCCAGGCCUUUCUCUAUGCUCUUUUUAAUACUAUGAAACACAUGUAACCUUCAAGGUUGGUGCACUACAGUUAUCUUGCAUUGUGUAGAAGGACUAGCUCAGUGACAGGAAUGGACUUGUUCAUAGAAAAUAGUCCUUUGCUAUUCCAGACAACAGUUCUAUCUACACACAGCAAGAGCCGCCAUGUUGGCGCCUUCCCUGUGCACUGGUUACUACACUCAGGCGUCAUGGUCAGCAUCUCACUUAAUCCUUGCAAGAUGCUCAGGAGUUGAGCAAUCCAAAUGGUAUGUAGGCUUUUGGGCUGUUGGGAGGAAGUGGUGAGUUAGCUUCAGCUGGGUGAGGUCUGUGCCAUGGUCUUCCCCUCCAGAUGCUAAAGAAACAAAUGCAUCAGAAACUCUAGUUCCUUGCUGCAGGAGCUGUCUCCCAGGACCGCAAACAUCUGGCACAGGACCUUUCUUCCUCUAGAAACAAAGGAGUUAAGAGUGCAGAUACAGUUCAUUGACAGUCAAUGUGGUCCAUGGGGCUGGGUGGGAUUGUGGUUUUUGUAGGCCACUUCUCCCCCAGUUACCUUCUUCCUUGCAAUAGACAAUCACAGUGUUAGCCAAUAUUUGUUGAGCUGUUGCUAAGCACUGGACACUAGCCCAGUCUCUGUGCAAGCUCUCACUUACUUAAUCCACACAGCUCCUUUUUGAGGGUGGAACUGAGGCAGAAACAUGCCAUCUGUUUGCUCAGUGUCUCACAGUUUGCAGACUCUGAUUCAAACCAAAUGAUUUUUUUUUUUUGGGUCAGAGGCCAAUGAUGGGUAAAGAGGGCCACAGCUGGGUGUCCUGAUCACCCCAUAAAUCCUUGAGGACCAUGUUGUCUUAUUUACUUCCUGACACCCACACAGAUAUAGUACAGACUGGCAAUGUCACUGGUGUAAGGUAUGGCCUGAGUGCUGGCUAGCCAGCCUGGGUGGAGGCCAGGAUUUCUUGUGCUCUGUCUGACCUCUGUGUGGUCCCUUUGGUUGAUUGGUAUCGUUUUUAUGGUGGCUCACAUUUUCCUUUACAACAGAACGUACAUCCCUAACUUCAUACUCGCACCUUAACUUUUAACCCAGUCUGUAUUAAUAGCUGGUCACACCUCUUGCUCAUGUGAAUGAGAUUUGAGUUUUCACACAGGGCACUUGCUAGUCAAAGUGUCUCCCACAACGCAUCUGUGCUAUGAAGAGCAUAAGUACAGGAGACUUUCUUUUUCCUUCAAAAAGAAUGUAUUUUGAAACACUCUUAAUUCAUCUCUAAGCUCACCCUGUCCCCUGGAAGUGAUACCAGUUAGUCACACUUCAUUAGGGAGCCCUUUAAUUUAUGGCCAAUGGUUCUCAACCUGUGCAUUGUGACCCCUUUGACAAGUCUCUGUCUCCAAAAAUAUUUACAUCACAAUUCACCACAGCAGCAAAAUUAUGGUUAUGAAGUAGCAGUGAAAUAAUGUUAUGGUUGGGCAUGAAUACAACAUGAGGAGCGAACAGUAUUAAAGGGUCCCAGCAUUAGGAAGGUUAAGAUCCCCUGGCUUAGGCAUGUCCUGCCCUCCAUCUGCUGCUGUGUGGUUGGCAUGUACCAGGUGUGUCCAGCAAACAUACCUGCCUUAGAGGCCUGUGCUCUCUGAAGUGCCGCCCCAGAAUGCCACACUUCAAAGAAACCACACUGCAGCUGUCACCUGGCUAUCGUGAGGAGGUCAGGGAGUUAAUAUGCAACCAUGAAACUGUGCACUCCCACCUCCAACUGACACCUGGGACUUGGGGGACAUUUUUUUUUUUUUUUCUGGUACAGAGAAUUUGAAUGUUCCAUUCAAUUCUGUUCAGUAUUGUUCCUAAUUUGCCCCAGCAGGAGUUCAGGGCCUCCUGCCUUUAGAUAAAGAGCAGUGUACAUAUCUCUCCCAAAACAAAAGAAGAGGAGACACCGAGGUUUUCUUCUUCAAAUAAGAAUUAUUGAGUAUUUGCAGCUGCUGUUAGCAGGAGUUUAAUAAUGGGACUAAUUUGUUUAAAAAAAAAAGUAGAGAAGCUUUCUAACAUGAGACACCUUUUAUCUGAGGAUUACAUGUUUCACAUGCAAAUUAGCCAAUUCUCCUCUUGGCUGUGUUUGGUAUGCUCUCAAUUACUGUUUGACACUGUCCUUGGGCAUCCAGCACUCUGGUUAUGGGGUGGGAAGUCGAAGUUUAUUUAUAAGUUGUUGCAGUAUGGAUGUAGAUUAGAUCUCAGAGAGGACUUCCUGGUUAUGAUGCUAUUAAGUGAGUUGCUGGGGGAGUUCUUUUUAAAGAGUUGCACGAGAGGACUUCCUGCCUCUUUGAUGGUGCUCUUUUCAGGAAUGAAAACCAAGCCACCAUCCACUUCUCAUAGAGCAAACUGAGUGUCUGACUUCACCAGAGAUAAUAGAGCAUCAAAGAAAAGAAAGAGGUUUGAAGUGAGUGACUAGGGAGACCCAAGUUCUGUGAGAUGCUGCUUGAAGGGCCAGGACUCUUUGAAGCCCAGGGUUGCAGGCCAGUGGGCCUCAGUUCAAAGAUAGGACAUGAGCUCGUCUAGAGUAACAUUUGCUGCUGUUCUAUUCUUUUCAAUUUUAUUUUACUUAGUGCGCACGAGUGUGUGUUUGUGUGUGUGUGUGUGCUGGUGUGUGCAUGCAUGUUCCUGUGUGUGCUGGUGUGUGUAUACAUGUUCAUGUGUGUGCUGCUGCUGCUGCUGCUGCUGUGUGUGUGUGUGUGUGUGUGUGUGUGUGUGUUUAUGUGUGUGUGUACAUGUGUAUUUGGAAUAUCAGGGUUCUAACUUAUGUGCUGUUCCACAGGCUUCACUCAUCUUUUUGUUUUUCUUUAGAUGGCAUCUUUCAUUGGCCUGCAACUAGCCUACCAGGCUAGACUAGCCAGCCAGCCCCAGAGAUCUCCUUACCCCUCCCUUCCCAGUACCAGAACACAAGCAGAUGCCACUUUGUAGGCUCUGAAGAUCAAACUUGGAACCUUGAGCUUGCAAGGUGAAGAUUUGCGUGUAGCUUCCUGUUUAGCAAUGCAAAACACUGCUUACUACAGACCUGCAAGCAAGGUACUGGGUGAGGCACCUUCAGCACACAGCGAUGGGGUCUCGGGGCCAUCUGUGUGCAAUGGCAUGCAUUGACGAUCAGUAAGACAAUUUAUCGCUUCUGAGAAAUCAGUGCCGCAGGUGCGGUAAGGUCGUGAUGAUGGUUAAAGAACUAAGUAAUAAAUGUUAGCAUUCAGGCAUUAUGCUGGCCUGCCCCUUGGGGACCUGGCAGGACGCGUCAUCCCUGCUCAUCUGUGCUUGCCAGUACUCAGGCAGUACUCUGGCCUGCUCAGGGUCCUGACAACGUCAUCUGGCCACUACAACAAAUGCAUCCCCUCACAAAAGGUGGCCCCACCCGCCUCCUAUCUCUUCUCUUCCUCCGUUCCCAUCUUCAGAGGCAGGUUUCCCCCACUCCACUUUCCCCACUCCCCUCCCCCAAUAAACUCUCACUGUGAACCCUGUCUUGUAGUGUCUCUC
ensembl:lncRNA